rnacentral:rRNA from 1 species
UGCACCUGAAAUCAAGUAAGAGCACCCGCUGAACUUAAGCAUAUUACUAAGCGGAGGAAAAGAAAUUAACAAAGAUUGCCCUAGUAACGGCGAGUGAACCGGCAAAAGCCCAAAGUGUAAAUCUGUGGCAGUCUCUGCCACCGAAUUGUAAUCUAAAGGGGUAGGCUUAAAGACUAUGACGACGCAUAAGUCGCUAGGAAUGGCGCGCCAGAGAGGGUGAAAGCCCCGUUCAUGCGGUCGUCUGGUCUCGAGGUCGCCUUCAAGAGUCGGGUUGUUUUGUACUGCAGCCCUAAGUGGGAGAUAAACUUCUUCUAAGCGUAAAUAUUUACGGGAAACGCAUAGCAAACAAGUACUGUGAAGGAAAGAUGAAAAGAACUUUGAAAAGAGAG